rnacentral:rRNA from 1 species
UACGGAGGAUCCAAGCGUUUAUCCGGAAUCAUUGGGUUUAAAGGGUCCGUAGGCGGUUUGGUAAGUCAGUGGUGAAAGCCCAUCGCUCAACGGUGGAACGGCCAUUGAUACUGCCAGACUUGAAUUAUUAGGAAGUAACUAGAAUAUGUAGUGUAGCGGUGAAAUGCUUAGAGAUUACAUGGAAUACCAAUUGCGAAGGCAGGUUACUACUAAUGGAUUGACGCUGAUGGACGAAAAGCGUGGGUAGCGAACAGG